rnacentral:rRNA from 1 species
UUGCUCUUCAACGAGGAAUUCCUAGUAAGCGUGAGUCAUCAGCUCGCGUUGAUUACGUCCCUGCCCUUUGUACACACCGCCCGUCGCUACUACCGAUUGAAUGGCUUAGUGAGGCCUCCGGAUUGAUGUCGAAGAGCCGGAAACGGCACUUUGACGUUGAGAAGCUGGUCAAACUUGGUCAUUUAGAGGAAGUAAAAGUCGUAACAAGGUUUCCGUAGGUGAACCUGCGGAAGGAUCAUUAACGAGUCGUUACGGGGUUGUUUGCUGGCUUCUGUCACGGGAGCAUGUGCACGCCUCGCAUCCACUUCAACCUCACCUGUGCACUUCAGAGGACCUCUUCGGUCUUCUUUCACACAAACCACAUAAUGUCAUAGUAGAACGUUUUUGUCAUUAAACAAUACAACUUUCAACAACGGAUCUCUUGGCUCUCGCAUCGAUGAAGAACGCAGCGAAAUGCGAUAAGUAAUGUGAAUUGCAGAAUUCAGUGAAUCAUCGAAUCUUUGAACGCACCUUGCGCUCCUUGGUAUUCCGAGGAGCAUGCCUGUUUGAGUGUCGUGUAAUUCUCAAUCCCGAUCGGUUUUGGCCGACUUCGAGAUUGGAUUUGGGAGUCUGCUGUGCCUUGCAUUAGGUUCGGCUCUCCUUGAAUGCAUUAGCUCGGUCACGUAGUUGCCCGACGGUUCACGGUGUGAUAGUUUAUCUUCAUCGCCGUUCUGACCGCUCGGUGCCUGUGUUCGCCGGCUUCUAAUACCGUGUCUCUGACACGACUUCUUUAACGCUUGACCUCAAAUCAGGUAGGACUACCCGCUGAACUUAAGCAUAUCAAUAAGCGGAGGA